rnacentral:rRNA from 1 species
GGCUACUACAUCCAAGGAAGGCAGCAGGCGCGCAAAUUACCCAAUGCUAACUCAGCGAGGUAGUGACGAUAAAUACUGAUACAGGGCUCUUUUGGGUCUUGUAAUUGGAAUGAGUACAAUUUAAAUCCCUUAACGAGGAACAAUUGGAGGGCAAGUCUGGUGCCAGCAGCCGCGGUAAUUCCAGCUCCAAUAGCGUAUAUUAAAGUUGUUGUGGUUAAAAAGCUCGUAGUUGAACCUUGGGCCUGGCUGGCCGGUCCGCCUCACCGCGUGCACUGGUCCGGCCGGGCCUUUCCCUCUGUGGAACCCCAUGUCCUUCACUGGUCGUGGCGGGGAAACAGGACUUUUACUUUGAAAAAAUUAGAGUGUUCAAAGCAGGCCUAUGCUCGGAUACAUUAGCAUGGAAUAAUAGAAUAGGACGUGUGGUUCUAUUUUGUUGGUUUCUAGGACCGCCGUAAUGAUUAAUAGGGACAGUCGGGGGCAUCAGUAUUCAAUUGUCAGAGGUGAAAUUCUUGGAUUUAUUGAAGACUAACUACUGCGAAAGCAUUUGCCAAGGAUGUUUUCAUUAAUCAGGAACGAAAGUUAGGGGAUCGAAGACGAUCAGAUACCGUCGUAGUCUUAACCAUAAACGAUGCCGACUAGGGAUCGGACGAUGUUAUUUUUUGACUCGUUCGGCACCUUACGAGAAAUUAAGAGUGUUUGGGUUCCAGGGGGAGUAUGGUCGCAAGGCUGAAACUUAAAGAAAUUGACGGAAGGGCACCACCAGGAGUGGAGCCUGCGGCUUAAUUUGACUCAACACGGGGAAACUCACCAGGUCCAGACAAUAUGAGGAUUGACAGAUUGAGAGCUCUUUCUUGAUUUAUUGGUUGGUGGUGCAUGGCCGUUCUUAGUUGGUGGGAUGACUUGUCUGCCUAAUCGCGAUAACGAACGAGACCUUAACCUGCUAAAUAGCCCACAUUGCUUUGGCAGUA